GGGUUCCAGCCCCCACCCCUCCCUCCCACCUAGCUCCGCCCCGCCCGCUCAAGGCGCCCGACCGCGUGGUGGAGACAGAGAAAACAGCAGCUUUGCGCUCCGCGGGCUGCUCCUGCCUCCCUCCCGGGGCCAGCUUCUCCCUGAGCUUGGCUGAUGUGAGUGCAUUGAAGAGCUUUGAACUACUGGACAUGGAACAGAUGAGAAGGAGAGAUCUUUCCAUCAUCUCCCUCCUAGCCUGUCAUCCCAAGGGCCUCCAACAAAUCACCGUGUGUUCUGGAAAUGCAAAACCACUGGAAUAAUCGCCAUAUCAAGAUGAAAUGAGAAAGACCAAAUGCUCACUGGAGGGGGGAGUGAUAUGCUGACCAAAGACAUCCCCAAACAUGAAGCUGUCCUGCUGGGAUUGUCCUGCCAGUGGUCGUUUUCCUUCCUGCCAUCUCAAAUACUCCCAACCCCAAAGCAAAGAGCCCCUCUGCACAAAGGUUGAGAUUGCGUCCCAGCUGUGGCCAUAACAGGGACAUCGAUCCUCAUCUGUUCCCCACCACUGAAUUCUCCACUGCAGGUUAGAAACAAGCAAUGCAGCCUCUGCUACCAGCGACACCGGCGGGACCUGGCUUUUAGAAGUAAGAUUGAAUGGCUAUUAGAAGAGGUGACGGCUAUAACCUAACACUGUACAGAGAGACCAAGGUAAUGAAGUAACACAGGUUUGUAGAAUGUGGAGACCUGGAAGGCUCUUUAGACAUCAUUCUGGCCAACCCCUUUGCUUUACAGGUGAAGAAAACCAGGACCAAAGAGGUUAAUUGACUCAUCCAAGGUCAUAGUGUGAAUUAUUGUCCUUUGGUUGUUCAGGUCACCCUUAAACAAAAAUUUUUUUCCCAAGGUUUCUAAGAGUUCAGAGUUCGUAGUCCAUCAGCUUUAAUAGUUUAAAUGCUUCCCUUUAGAACUCAUUCAUCGGCAGUGAAUCAUGGGAACCUAUCAUGAACAUGCCCCACAUGUUAUAGGUGAUUAAAAAAGGGGGAAGAGGUUUCUGCACCUAAUGUCUUACAAUUGAAUUGGAGACUUAAGAAAUAUAAAUAGCAAGAGGUAAAAUGAAAUUCUUAUGUAUGUAAAAAAAAAAGAAAUACUUGAUGUAUGCGUGUAAAUGCUGUGCAUAAGAGAAUUCUAUGGAGUAGGUGUCCUAUGCUUUAUCUUAAAGAAACUAAAGACCAUGUGUUUGUAUUAACAUUUAGAGAGCCAUUAAUUUACUAUCGGGAUUAUAAAGUAAAAGUGAUAAAUAACAAUUUAUAUUUUGUGUUCUAUAAUGUCCACGUAUAAAGUUUCCUGGGCAUUUCAGCAGCCACCAACAUCACUGAAAAUAUGUUUAUGGCCCACGAAAAAAUUCCAUUUGAACCUUGGCUGUUUGAAACAUAGCUUCCUCUCUGCAUCCUUAUUGCCUCAUUUCUAGUAUAAAGUGGUCAGAUUAGAUGCUCUUUAAGGUUCUUACACAUUUCCACUUUCCUUGAUUAGUGAGUGACUAAAAACAAAAGGCAGAAUAGUCCAGAUGUUCUAGUAGGUUUACAUUUGCAUCUGAGAAAAGUCUUGAAGUACCUCAAUAGGUUUAAAUUAUUUUUUGAGUGGUGAAAUAUCACUGAAAAUUUUCUAUGAAAUUCUCCCAGGAAAAUAACUGGUUUUAGAGUUCUACAUUGUUGAUCUUGUAGUUCCAGGACAGAUUUGGGAUAAUUAUCGUGAUUUCCACUGGGUAGAACAAUAUUUUGGGAUCAGAACAAUCAAACUCAAAUUAUACAGGUACAACAGUUUAACAAACGUGACCCAUAUUUUAUAAUUCAUAUCAAACUGAUGAGUCCCUUUGGUCUACCCAUCAAAACAAUUGUCAGAGGUAAAUAGGCACUCAUUUUCCAUGUGAAUUUUUCCAUGGUGCUGCCGGUAAACCGUUUCUAAGGAUAUAAUAGCAAUAGCUGCCCCUGAAAGCCUCGAGCCCGAAAUGAUCAUUUAAAUGGUUCUUGUGAAUGGCACAACUCUUGUUUAUGGGUGCCAGGUCCCAGUGUUUCAGAUACAUAGAAACAGCCUUUGCCAAUGCAGCUUUAGCCAGUAAGAAUAGCUAAUAUUGAUGCUUACUGAGUGCUAACUAUGACUGUACUGGAAGUUUUGCAUAUAUUAUCUUAUUUAAUACUCCCAAUAAUCUGAAGACGCAGGUACUGUUAUUAUCCCCAUUAUGCAGAUAAAGAAACUGAAUAUUAGAAGGUUAAAUAGUUUGCCUAAAAUACAUCUAGAAAACAGUAAAGCUGAGAUCUGAAGCCAGAUGUACUGACCUCACGGACAAUACACUAAUCACUAUACAGUAUCACCACGUGGCUUGCAAUAGUCUAGAAGACAAAUGAUUUUUAAGUGGCUCUGAUAAAUACCCUUUAUGUGGAAAAUGAUGGGUGUGCAGACUGAGUAGUGUGUAUGAUGGUGGUGGAGGUUAGAGGUGCGGGGACCAUUAAUUUUUAUUGACUUUAGUUAAUUGCAGUUAAUUCGAAUCUUUCAACGAUUUUGGCCAACUGCACGUUGUGCCUGUCUGGGUCUGCAGUAUCACUGACAGCAGAGAUGUGGGUACCAGGCUAAGUAGGCAUCCUUCCUCCAGAACCUUCACUGGCAGACACAAGCAUGCAUCAUCCAUCCCAGGUCUGAACAGCAAGUUCAGAAGCCAUCUCAUUAUUUAAAUUUCUGAUCUGCAGUGUUGUAUGAAAUACCGUGAAGAACCCCGUGCUUUAGGAUCUGUGGAAUAGCCACACAUUUCUCAGCCUAAAUCUAAAGCAAUGGUGCUGAUAAUUUAUAUGAACGCAUCUCCCCUUUCUCCAUGUGGUUAAAGAUAAUGAAAUAGAGAACCGCGCUCUCCGAGAAUGUGACAGGCCAAUUUACGAUUCUAAUUCUCCGUUUGGUCAUCUAAAAUAUACUAUUUUAGCAGCUUUCUGCCUUUAACAGGUAUUUCUUGAAAGCAAUUCCUACUUGCAUGACUGUUCCGUAAAUGUUUGGCUUGAAAGAAAAGGAAAUGUGUCCUUCAAACAAGUGUGUUUCUUUCAGGGCUACUUCUGUAUGUGAAUUUCUCCAUGGUGACUACCCAGUGUUUUCUGUCAUCAUCUUCUUGGCAUUCAAUUCAUUACCCCUGUUCAUUAUUCAAUUUGUUUGAGCUUUGAGCACCUGAAUAAUUGAAAGCUAUGCAAGUAUUAUAAAUUAUAGUGUCCACGUUCAUAAUCCCCAUUUUAGAGUUUAUAGCUUCACUGUGUUGGAACCUUACAUACAAGGUCUUAUACUGAAAACAAAUUAAUUUAUAAAUACAUUUUUUUCUUCCCUAAACUCAAUAUUUAACAAAUCUUACAUUUUUCCAGUUACGAUUUUUAGGGCUUUGACUGCCACAGCAAGCCCAAUGAAAAAGAAUGUUUUACAUGUUCAUUCAUUCAUUUUUGUAACAAAUAUUUACGGAGUGACUAUACCUUUGACAGUGUGAGGCUGGGGCUAGGUCAGCCUAUUCUCUUUGAGAAGAAUGAGAGAGAAAGCAGGCUUUGCAGCCCUUUAAGUUAUGGCCUCCACCUCCUGAUGGCACUCAAAAAUCUAAACAAACCAAAAAAACCCUAAACCAGAUCCUCAGCAGCCCUUCCUCUGUAGUCUCUGCCCCUGGGUCCUUCCUGGUCCACCUAGGGCACUGAGGGCUGGAAGAUUCUGUAGCCUCCUUGAGGCAGGUAGCCCAGUUCUUUGCUCUGCAAAUAAAUAUGGGAAUAAAGUUUUUCAAUGAGAGUAAGAAGGAAAGAAGAGAAGAUGGGUGAAGUUUAAGAGACUGAUGACCCAGCUAGUAAGUGCCUGAGCUGGAAGGCAGGCUGCAGACUCAAGUCUUGUGGAUGCAAAUCUAGUGUGGUGGGUUUUGUUUGUUUGUUUUUUGCGGUACGCGGGCCUCUCAUUGUUGUGGCCUCUCCCGUUGCGGAGCACAGGCUCCGGACGCGCAGGCUCAGCGGCCAUGGCUCACGGACCCAGCCGCUCCGCGGCAUGUGGGAUCUUCCCAGACCGGGGCACGAACCCAUGUCCCCUGCAUCGGCAGGCGGACUCUCAACCACUGCGCCACCAGGGAAGCCCUAGUGUGGUUUUUAAUUUCAUCAGCACUGCCUCUGCAUCGCUAGAUUGGUUGAUUGGUUGGCUUUACCAUAAUAAAAAUAGCUUUACUGGGUUUUUUUCCUCCAUAAUUAUACCAGCGAUCCCCACCCUUCUCUUUGUAAAAGCUGAAACAAUGGAUUAAGGUAGAAAGUUGAAGGUGAAAAUCACCUGGAAACAAAUUUGAUUGGCAUUAGUUCAACAAGUAUUUCUGAAGCACAUAUUCUGUACCACUUGGGCCUUGGUAAAUUGGGAUAACUAUUACAGAUGUGGUUCCUGCCCUUAGUUAACAUAAAAUUGGUGAAAGAUACAAAAAAUAGGCAAGAAAGCAAAUGAAUGUAUAUUAUUUUUCUGUUGGCUAAGAGCAGAGAAUCAUGAUGGCAAAUCAACAGGGAAGGUACUACUUAUGUCAAGCUAUUAGAAAUGAUCUCUCCUGGGAAGUGGUAUUGUAGAGUAUGGCCUUCCAAACUGUAUUCUAUGGCUCUGUUUAUGCAUUUUUAUUUUUGACAAAAACAAGAUCAUAUAUGCAUAUUGUUUUACAACUUUCCUUUUCAAUAUAACUGUGUUAAACUUCCAUGUAAAUAAGUAUAGACUGAGUGUAUUAUAUUGUAUGAAUUAUAUCAUAAUUUAAGAAAAUCAAUCCUCUAUUGAUGAAUAUUAAUUUUUUUUUGCUUUCAUAUGCAUUGCAAGGAUGGACUUCCUUUAAAAUAUCCCUUGGGGCGUAUUUACCAUUAUUUCUUAACAUAAAUAUAUAGGAACAGAAUUUCUGAGUCAAAGAGUAUACACACUAAAAGUUUUGAUACAUGUUGUCAAAAUACUAUAUGAAAACUUGUACCAAUGUAUACUCCCUGGAGCAUCAUGCUCAAAUAGGAGACAGAAGAGAAGAAUGAUUUGAGAGGGCAGCUUUGGAGUUAGAUUGCCUGGGUACAAGUCUCAGGUCCUGCACAUGUGAACUGUGUCUGACUUUCGACAAGUUGUGACACCCACCCAAUAUCUCAGUUUUCUCAUCUAGAGUGUGGGCAUAAUAACUUAUGGGAUUGUUGUGAAGAUUAAAUGAGAUAACUCAUGUUCAUCAUUUAACAAAGUACAUGGCACAUAAUAAACGCUCAAUAAAAAUAUGAGGUAUUACCAUUA